rnacentral:rRNA from 1 species
UAGUCCACGCCCUAAACGAUGCUUACUCGGUGUUUGGGUCUUGAACUUGAGCACCUAAGGGAAACCAAUAAGUAAGCCACCUGGGGAGUACGUUCGCAAGAAUGAAACUCAAAGGAAUUGACGGGGGUCCGCACAAGCGGUGGAGUAUGUGGUUUAAUUCGAAGCAACGCGCAGAACCUUACCUGGCCUUGACAUUUAGCGACAACCCCAGAGAUGGGGCCUUCACUUCGGUGACGCUAGGACAGAUGCUGCAUGGCUGUCGUCAGCUCGUGUCGUAAGAUGUUGGGUUAAGUCCCGCAACGAGCGCAACCCUUAUCCUUAGUUGCCAGCAUUAAGUUGGGCACUCUGGGGAGACUGCCGGUGACAAACCGGAGGAAGGUAAGGAUGACGUCAAGUCAGCAUGCCCCUUACGCUCUGGGCUACACACGUGCUACAAUGGUCGUGACAAAGAGUUGCUAGUCUGCGAAGGCAAGCCAAUCUCAUAAACGCGGCCUUAGUUCGGAUUGCAGG